rnacentral:rRNA from 1 species
CAGCGCCGCGGUAAUACGUAGGUGGCAAGCGUUGUCCGGAAUUAUUGGGCGUAAAGGGCUCGCAGGCGGUUUCUUAAGUCUGAUGUGAAAGCCCCCGGCUCAACCGGGGAGGGUCAUUGGAAACUGGGAAACUUGAGUGCAGAAGAGGAGAGUGGAAUUCCACGUGUAGCGGUGAAAUGCGUAGAGAUGUGGAGGAACACCAGUGGCGAAGGCGACUCUCUGGUCUGUAACUGACGCUGAGGAGCGAAAGCGUGGGGAGCGAACAGGAUUAGAUACCCCGGUAGUCCCUGUCUCUUAUACA